UUUAACUUUUGACCAUUCAUUUUAUUUGAAAUUUUUUUGCGAUUAAUAUUUUUAUUAUUACUAGAUGAUAAAAUAUGAAUAGUACUUUAUACGUGACUAAUUUUUUUUAAGUUUUUUACAAAAUUUUAAAAUAAGACGAAUGGUUAAACGUUGGUCAUGGAAAAAC
rnacentral:pre_miRNA from 1 species